AUCCGCUCUAGCAGUGCAGAAGAUGUAGUGUUCCUACCUAAGCAGGGAUGGGCCUGGAUCUCAUGGAUGAAGCUACACAGUCCUUGCCAGAAAAGCCCCAGCAUCCAAUUACCCUGGCGGCCUCAGUGAAGGCCUCCUAGUGGUCAGCCAUCUGCCUUGGCAGACAGGAAGCCUCCGUUUCGCUCUUUCCCUGUCUCGGGUAUCAUCUUUUGCCUUCUCUGUUUUAACAUUUCCCCCUGCUUUGAGGUUUUAUAAUCUGAGAAACUCCUGUCAGCUUAGACCGAAAUAUAUUCCAAGAAUGGCUCUAACAUACCAACAAGUGACCCUCCUGGUUUUCCUCUGAAGUCCACUGGAUAGAAGCCCGAAGCAGGAGGCAGGAAGCAGGGAGGUGUAAAAUGAAGAAGAGUGUUCAUUAAGGAUGUGGCCCACUCCCCUCCGACCUCUGCACAGGACACACUGGGUUGGGAACACUGGCCUGCAUAGACCUUUAGGAAGUGUAAGCAAUUUUACAAACGCGAUGAGAUUUCUGACUUCUCCUGAGAAAUCUUCAGGAAUGGCCGCACGGGGUUGCCUUCUUCAUCAGAACACACUUGGCUGCAAGUGAGCUGCUCCUUCUAAAACCUCCAGGCAUUCCACAGCUGGAGCAGUUCCUCGUACUGUCCGACUUCCCCAAUACUGCUUCCGUACAGCCCGAAGAACCAAUCAGUCCCGUUGUCUGGGGUCAUGAGAGGUUUUGACGCUGGCCUAAAAGGAGCCCUUAAGCUCACUCACUUUAAUUUCUUCCCCUACAGUGAUGUUGUGCAUUGUCUCUGGAAUCUCAUUUUCAUUCUGAACCUUCAUAGUUCAUCAUACAAAGUAGAUGCUUAGCUAACAGAAUGAAGUCUCACUGAAUGACAGUCUUUGAGCAGGAGUCUCUCCAACUUCUCCCAAGGACCACUCUCCUGCCGCAAGGCUCACUGAAGCUCAGGACCAUUCUCCUACCGCACAGUGUGCAGAGAACCACCCACAGCGUUUUACCAUGUACUUUCUUGGUAGUGGGGAAAUCUCAUGUAGUCCUUACCGGACCCGGGGAUCUCUGAACCAACACACCAGCGAAGCUCCUUCGAUCAGAGAGAUUUCUAUUGGAUUGAGACUUCAGUGCUUCAUAAAAGGCCCAUCGUGCUAAUGAAGUCUCGUCAUCCUGGUUAAGAUAGUUACCACAGUUGGCCUCAGUUUCCUCCUGGGAAAAGCACAAUAAACAUUCUACAGGUUCCCACCUUGGUUUCCUCCUAAAGUGAGGUUAGUACACUAGAUAUACGGGUACUUCCCACGGCUCUUCAUGAGAAGACUCUUCACCAGC
rnacentral:lncRNA from 1 species